GUGCAGUACGCAGGUCCACGGAGCAGAGGUGAGGUGGCAUCAGCUCUGCCUGGAGGAGCUAAGAAAGGCUUCGCAGGAGGAGGCGUCUUUGAACUGGGUCCUGGAGGCUGAGGGGGAAUCCAGGCAAAAGAAAACUGCAGCUGCUGGGGCUCAAGAGAGUGAAAGCACAGAGCCAUUUCUGCAUGUUUCUGCCUCCCCCUGAACUUCCAGCCUCUAAUCCCCUAAAACUUUGGGUGCCAGAGAAGUUUCUGCUGCAUUGUGAAAUAGCUUGAUGUACC